CUGAGUCAAUCUGAUGCUUUGUGCUGGCAGCCCAAGUAGAAGAAGCUAAGCCUCCUCCUGGCUUUUCCUUUUCCUAGGCCAGGAGGUUGCUCUCUGUAAUGGCUAACUCUGAUUGUCAACUGGAUUGGAUCUGGAAUCAAGGAAAGAACACAGCUCAAGCUGGUGUCCACUGAAGACAGAAAAGGGUGUCCGAUGGCCUGGAGCUGGAGCUACAGAGAAUGCGACCCCCUUUAAUCUAAGUGCAAGAGAACUCAGGAAAUAUGAAAUGGACUUUUGUGACCGCUGUCCCUUUUUAAGAACAUUGGAAAAAUACAGUGAACAACAUCGAUGAUGAUGAUGAUGAUGACGACGUCCUAGAUGACAGGUGUGUAGAAAAAGGAAAGAUCCAUCGACUGUACACAGCUACAAAAUCUCGGUGGCCAAGAAGUCACAUGGGCUGGAUAUGGAGAAGAGCUUAGUCUGUCUGUAAAAGACGGAUGGUUCCGAAGCUGAUAUCUGUACGUUUCUGAAGUUGGAUCCAACCUUCCUAUGUGAAAUGAAAUCUCCUGCAACCUGGGUUCUGUGCUAGGAGCUGGAAAGUCAAAGCCCUCCUAGGAAACAAAUGAAGAACAGCAUCCAAGAAAGGAAAUGUUUCAGACAGUCCUGGGAUGGCUAUGCUUUUAGAACCACAAGCCUCAUGGUAACCUUCCCUUCCUUCUAACCCUAGAGCCCGGAAGACCUCUGUGUGCCUGUAAGUCCAGCUCUCACAGAUAUGUGGCCUGGGGACACGCUCUUCUGUCUAUAUUAUACUUACAAGAGAGGGAGGUGCAUGAAGCUUUUUCUAAC